rnacentral:rRNA from 1 species
UACGUAGGGCGCAAGCGUUGUCCGGAAUUAUUGGGCGUAAAGAGCUCGUAGGUGGCUUGCCACGUCGGGUGUGAAAGCUUGGGGCUUAACUCCAGGUCUGCAUUCGAUACGGGCUGGCUAGAGGUAGGUAGGGGAGAACGGAAUUCCUGGUGUAGCGGUGAAAUGCGCAGAUAUCAGGAGGAACACCGGUGGCGAAGGCGGUUCUCUGGGCCUUACCUGACGCUGAGGAGCGAAAGCGUGGGGAGCGAACAGG